rnacentral:lncRNA from 1 species
AUGGAUCAGAAGGAUGAGCUGCAGAUGAAGGAGAAUACAUUCCAGGAAGGAACAGCCAUGGCGUCGUCCUCCUCAUCAUCGUCCCUUCUCGCUCAUCCAUCGUCGCUGCUGCGUCAGGUCGUCCAUGGCUUCGCCGGCUACCUCGCCGGCCUCUGCCGUUCUCUCCAGAAUCUGAAACCAUCUGCAGCUCCGAAACAAGACGAUGACGACGAAUUUGCCGUCAAUAACACUGCUGCGUCAAGCUCCGAAGAAGUUGAGAAUGUUCAGAUGAGAACAAGAGCAAUGCCGCGUUCUGAAAGGCCGGUUUUAAGAGAAGGGAACGGGGGAAAAGGCAGAGCACACCACAACGCUGGCCUUUAGCUUCAAUCGA